AUGGUUCCUAGUCAAAAAAAGAAAAAAGACUUGAAGCACUUAAACAAGAAAAUGCAAAAUGUUCAUUCUAAAGGAGUUGUUCUAAGGUUAACUCUGAUAGACCAGUGCAAAGGUGAUUUGUUGUCUUCUUGUUUCAAUUAGAUGCAGUGAAGAAAAAAACCAUAAAGACAAAAAAUGUGUUGAUACCUUUAGAUGGACUAAUCUUGUGAAAGGAGACUUGCUUGCUGUACCUGGGGAUGAGACAUGGGACUCCAUGGGCAAUUUGAACUAGCUAACUCAUGGCUCAGUCCUUUUCUUUUAGUCAAUACAGAAAAGGGUAAUUGGCCACCUCUCAUAGAAGAGAGAAAAAUGAAAGGGGGCAUGAGGAUCAUAGAACCUGGUGUGUUUUGAACAGUAGCAAGGCCAUUGGACAAACUCUGCAAAAGAAAGAUGAUUAGCUUUCCAUCUCCCAGAAGACUACGUUCCUAUCAACCCAGGGACUCCAAUGCCACAUGUUCCACAUCACCUCAAGCUCUUAAAGACUCAGUCUUUUGACAUGCUGGUGACCUGUGACUAUUGCAACAUUCUGCUGCCACUUCCAACCCUUUGUAAAUACGAGAAGUGACACACUGGCCUUGGCUUCCUGCGUGCAAAGGGUAUACUUACACAGUCACGACUGACCUCCCGAAUGCCCAGGACCCUGUAGCAAUGGGGAACAAUGGGGCACAGACCUCCUUACGGGUCCGAAGAAGAUCCUGUUCCUGCAGAAAUCGCAAUAUGCCUCUAAUGUCCACCAGACACAACUGAAGGCCAACUGAGGCCAACAGAACUUAACAGAAGAAGGGCCCCCAUUGGCUGGCUCAGCUGUGGCCCUGCUGCCCACACGUCCUAUCACCCAAUCAGCUUGCUGCUCAUGGCCGUCCGCGCAUUCCUCCAGCCAAUCACAACCUCCCUCAACUGACCCUCUCCUCACUCCUAACUGCCUCACAGCCCCCAGCGACCUCCCCCGCUGCGUCUGGCCUGCAGCUGGGCCGUCCCUCAGGGCCUUCUGCUGAAGCUCGGCCCUAAAGAUGGUGGGGUGGAUUCACCUAUGCAGGUGUGCAACAUGGUUUUAGGUUUGCCAUGGGAAGGGCUGGCUGGCUAGGUGCUGGGAAUGCUGUGAGAGAUGUUUGUGGACAGAAGACAAAGCUCCUUUUUGCUGAAUGAGCUGCCACGGGCUGAGCCCUCUCAAUUAGAAAACAUUAAACCCUGCAUUCCAUGACUUCAGUGAACCACUGAGCCCAGGACCAGCACAAACACCUUCAUCUCAGGAGAUGGCAGAAACAUCCAGGGAUAACUAAGAGUUUUUGUCUCCUGAAAUGCAAGUGAAAACGUAUAAGAGUCCAAUGGCAGGAAAGUUAAGCGUGCAGGGAGAGUGGAUGCUCAUGGGACAGCAAACGGGCAGGAACAGGUGUACCAGCUGCCAGGAGUCUGUCUCAGUACCAAGAGAGCCUCCAAAACAAAACACAUCUCUGAUGGAUCUUCAAAACACCUGUGUGUUCGGUGUACCAAUGCGCUCUCUUCGGUCACUAGAUGGCAAUAAAGACCCAACGUGCUCUUCCCCGGGCAGCCGGCGAGGAUAGUAGAGCUCGGCCUGGAUUUCCCCAGGAGAUAGAACUGGAAGUUACUAGAGAAGACAAGAACAAAACCUCAGUGAAUUGGUUGAAAAGAGGACCAGUCUCUCUGCUCUAAUAACAAGAUGUUCUUACCUCUCCCAGUUCAAGCUCUGGAUACUUGCUGACAAGUAAUGACCUCAUGUGAGAGAAGACUCAAAUAUUUUGGGUGAGGAAGACAUUUAAACACAGGAACUUCAGAGAAGUGCCUCACAUGGAGCAGGUCCUUAACCUGUGCUUAUGCUAAGUAGUAUCCAGAUGACAUUGAAGCGGGUUUUCUAAAAUCAAGGCUCACAGAGCAGGUAUGACCCAGACCUGUGUUAACACUUGGGUGUCAGCCAGGCUGUGAGGUGGGAUAGUAACUUAUUUCCCAUUGUUUUAAAUCCUGAAACAAUCUAAGAGUAAAACAGAUUACUGAAUAUUUGUUACAUUUGGGACUCUAGCGUGGCUGUUUAUUUGCAGAUCCUACAGAAUUGAGGUUCAGUGGUAUCAGUGUUAAUUAGAGGUCAGCUUUGGCAAUUGCUACAGAAGUGUUUCUCUUCCCACCUGGACAUGGAAUGAAAUCAGCUCCAUAUCACUCCAACAGCCCAUCUUGACAAAGUAAUCAUAAUUUUCAUGCAGAAUAUACAAAUAAUUCCCUGAAGGGCAAUGUAAGGAAAAAGAAAACAAAAGAUAAUU